GGGAACAUUCUGGAGACAAAGGAAAACAACAAACCAUCUUGUUAUGGACAUCAAUUCUUUCUUAUUCCAUGGCGCCACAGAUUUCAGGUGAGAAAAAAAGCGACCAAGAACAAUUUCCGUUCAGAUAGCUGUUAACGACCGCCUUAGGGAUAACUAAAAGUGGGUUUCCGGCAUCAAAAACGAUCGCGUUUUCUCUCUGGACAACAAUUACUUCCAGGAUUCAUAAAAGCUGCAUACAAGUUAAUGUAGAUUGAAAGCCGUUUAAUAUAGCAGAUCGCCGACAUAUGCUACUGUACAAAAGGAAAAGGCACACGGACGAAGAAUAAGAAGUUUCGGCAUGGGGAGCAAGGGAAAAUGUUGAGACAAAAGCAAGAUAUAUUAGUCAGCCCUGGAAAAAAAAAAAGGUAGACAGGAAAAUCAAGUAAUAAUUCCUAAGCCAUGCACGUUCACUUCAGGGGAGGGGACAAAAUAAAGGGGAAACAUAUUUUUUUAAUGGACAAGAAAGGACUUUUUUUUUGCUUUUCUUUAAAUAUAAUAAACACAAAGAAAAAGAAUUAUUCCAGUUCAACUUUGAAACCUUGAUUGUAUGACUCUCGAUCGUCCAAGUGUCACGGAAAAAAAAUGCGAUAACUCUUUUGUUUUUACGUUGAACGAAUCACAAAAGUAAACUUUUCCUCGUGGAUCGACCCGAAUUGCAAAAGACAAGAGCAAAAACUGUGUUAGUACGGUAACUAGGUCAUUAUUUAUUGCAUGUGUCGUUUGUUGUGAGGGCUUCGGUAGUUCAGAGUCCCUCUUUCCCACGAAACUAGGAAUCAGAAAGUCACACCCUUUAGAACUGUUAUUAAUUUCAUUUGUAAAUUAUAGUGAAUAGAAGGAGAGGGUGAUGAAUGGUUGAGCUGAAGGUUUUCUUUUUAAAUUAAAUCUUAAUAAAAAAAAAAACAAGAAAAAAAAAUAGA